CCCUUAGAUGUUCUGGGCCGCACGCGCGCUACACUGAUGCAUUCAACGAGCCUAUCCUUGACCGACAGGUCCGGGUAAUCUUUGAAUCUGCAUCGUGACGGGGAUAGAUUAUUGCAAUUAUUAAUCUUCAACGAGGAAUGCCUAGUAGGCGCAAGUCAUCAGCUUGCGUCGAUUACGUCCCUGCCCUUUGUACACACCGCCCGUCGCUCCUACCGAUUGGGUGUGCUGGUGAAAUGUUCGGAUCGGCCGUUUGUCGCGGUUUCCGCGUCAUGUGUCUGAGAAGUUCAUUAAACCCUCCCACCUAGAGGAAGGAGAAGUCGUAACA
rnacentral:rRNA from 1 species